GCAAUCAUUAAAGUUAUUACUUCUAACUACGCAUAAAUCACGUACUAAAAAGUACUUUAAAUUACAUCACUUUCGAAAAUACAGAUAAGAAUUUUCGGAAGUUUACUCAGCAGUUCACUCACUCUUCUUCCUUUCGUGGCGCAAUACCUUUCCAGUAAACGAUAAGUCAAUUUUGUGUAAACUUGAGACAGUUUCGAAUCACGUAUCUUAUCUUUUUUUAUAUAUCGGAAAAAUAUUUUACAUCGAUAUCAUUUUCGUUAAAAGUAUUCAUCAUGAGUACAUCUCAAGAACAAAUGAAUACGAACGACACUGAAAACAGUGAAAAAGUGGCUGAUGGUAGCGAUCAAUCAACAGAAUCAUCCGAUAAACCAAAAAGGAGAUCAAAAAGAUCCGCAUUUGAUAGCAUGGAACGCAGAAAUGCAGCAUUCGAUGGCCAAGUGGAAGAGGAGUUUCAGUAAUAAGCAGAACUUAUUCUAUUUUUUAUCCAUUGUAGUACCAUAACCAUGUGAUGGGUAUGUCACUAUUAUAUUUUUAUAUUGUCAAAAUAAAAUUGAACAAAAUAAAUCGAUUUUUAUUAUUAAAA